UGGGGAAUAUUGGACAAUGGGGGCAACCCUGAUCCAGCNACAGCCGCGUGUGUGAAGAAGGCCUGCGGGUUGUAAAGCACUUUUAGUGGGGAGGAAAACACUCGACCUAACACGUCGAGGAUUGACUUAACCCAAAGAAAAAGCACCGGCUAA
rnacentral:rRNA from 1 species